GAGAGUUAAACAGUACGUGAAAUUGUUGAAAGGGAAACGAUUGAAGCCAGUCGUACCUUCGGGUUCAAAUAUUUGCACUUUUUAGGCGUAAUUUCUUGUUCGGUAGGUUAACAUCGAUUUUGAACAUUAUAAAAUGAUCGGAGGAAUGUAGCUUCGAUCUUGUAUUGAAGUGUUAUAGCCUUUGGUAGAUGUAAUGAUCGAGAUCGAGGAUUGCAACGAAUACCCUUUUGGGCUAUCUGUCUGAUCUCUGAUACGUUGCCUCGGUAACGAAAGCGUGCUUACGGUAUUGAGGUAUUACGGUCAAAAGGUUAGAACGUGAUUACAUUCGUUAAGGAUGUUGACGUAAUGGCUUUAAACGA
rnacentral:rRNA from 1 species